AUUGCACCAUGGAGGAUCUCCGCGAGCCUGUGAGGUCUGGAGUUGCGGUGCAGGCAGGAGUCACUGCUGUGAAGAAUGAUUAACCUCUGAUCACUGCAUAAGGGCAGCUCCUCUGUCCUGUUAGGAAGUCACAUGAGGAACGAGGCUAACAAGUAACAAGCUAUGGACUUGUGAAAAACAAGACUAAAGUAACAGCAAGACUGAACAAAUACACUUUCCUCGGAGAAAAAGUAUCAAGCAAAUACAGAUAGAAGGAAACAGAUCUGCAAGGAAAACAGCAAUUUAUGCUCAAGGACUGAGGCGCAGCAGGAAAAGCUACAGAACGGGCCAAGGAAAGAAUUCAAAUGAGUUGUCUCAUGUUAUUUCUCAAGGAGCAGCAUGAGUUACCGCUCUAGGAAACAAAGACUAAGGCAUCUUCAGAAAUGUGAAGAUGUGAUGAGAGACGUGAUUACCUACCAAUCGGAUGCAGCUUUCCAAUCCAGCAUGAGGGCGGCCCUGGGCUCCAGCGCUUACCUCACGCACAGACAGCCCCUGCUGUACUCUGAAAAUCACAGUUGGGAGCGUGUGUGCCAGAUGACCUGAUGUGAAAUCAUACCUAAGUUUUCCAAGAAACACAGGUGUUAUUUGCCCACAUUUUAUAGCCAACAGAAGCAACGUUUAUGGACCCGGGAGACCCAUGGAAGACGGAAGUGCUGGGACAAGUGGACUCCAGAGUCCGCUCUCUCAACCACGAAGUUCACCGGCCACAAGUCCAGUCCAGAAACCCGCGGCCAUACUCGGUUUUCCGUCGUACGUGGAGACCAGGCCUUUUAGGAAGAACAAAACGGCCCCAGGUGGACGCCGAGCUGUGGGACGUCUCCGCGUUCCUUCUACGAGUCCUCACACGCCGCUCCGGCGAGCCUGAGCCUCUGCGUGGUGGCGCUCAGCGCACGGUAACCGUCUCAGGCCGGGCAGGCCCGGGGCACCCGGGCUCUGAGGCUCUGACACCCGACAACCGUCAGAGCCACGACUCCAGGUGUCCUUUUCCUCCAUCUUAAAAUAGGCAGACUUUGCAUCAUGCAUGUGAAAUACACUGCUUUUCUCACAUUAUGAGCUUUAAUACAUUAGUUACCACAACA